ensembl:rRNA 5S_rRNA 5S ribosomal RNA
GCCUACGGCCAUACUACUCUGAACAUGCCCGAUCUCGUCUGAUCUCGGAAGCCAAGCAGAGUCAGGCCUGGUUAGUACUUGGAUGGGAGACCGCCUGGGAAUACCAGGUGCUGUAGGCU